AAAAAGCAAUGAUACCGUGAUGUCCGAAUGGGGAAACCCACACAGCAAUGUGUAUCCUAAUCUGAAUACAUAGGAUUAGAGAAGCGAACCUGGAGAACUGAACCAUCUAAGUACCCAGAGGAAAAGAAAUCAACCGAGAUUCCGCAAGUAGUGGCGAGCGAACGCGGAGGAGCCUGUACGUGAUAACUGUCGAGAUAGAAGAACAAGCUGGGAAGCUUGACCAUAGUGGGUGAUAGUCCCGUAUUCGAAAUCUCAAUAG
rnacentral:rRNA from 1 species